rnacentral:rRNA from 1 species
UACGGAGGGUGCAAACGUUGCUCGGAAUCAUUGGGCGUAAAGCGCACGUAGGCGGUUCGGUAAGUCGGAUGUGAAAUGCCUCGGCUCAACUGAGGAAGUGCAUUCGAAACUGUCGGACUUGAAUAUGGAAGGGGGUCGCGGAAUUCCCGGUGUAGAGGUGAAAUUCGUAGAUAUCGGGAGGAACACCGGUGGCGAAGGCGGCGAUCUGGGUCGAUACUGACGCUGAGGUGCGAAAGCGUGGGGAGCAAACAGG